rnacentral:rRNA from 1 species
UACAGGGGGGGCAAGCGUUGUUCGGAAUUACUGGGCGUAAAGGGCCAGUAGGCGGCCAACUAAGUCCGACGUGAAAUCCCUAGGCUUAACCUAGGAACUGCGUCAGAUACUGGAUGGCUUGAAUUCGGGAGAGGGAUGCAGAAUUCCAGGUGUAGCGGUGAAAUGCGUAGAUAUCUGGAGGAAUACCGGUGGCGAAGGCGGCAUCCUGGACCGACAUUGACGCUGAACGGCGAAAGCUAGGGGAGCAAACGGG